CACUUUAGUUCUGACAAGAUGAUUGAGCCAACUACUCUUCAGGGUCGAAGGAGACUUACAAAAGGUGCCGUAGCGCCCAUUUGUGAGUGGAACCAGUAUACAGUCGAAACCCCAAGGCGCGGCGUGUGGGAGAGAGUGGAUCAGUUCGUCGAAACUGCCCCUCCGGAAGAUGAAGUUGAUCUCCUUUUCAACGAUCAAGACUACUGCUCUGUCCCUGAACCGGCUGCCAUGGAUAUGCCCGCAUCCGCUGCUGAAAGCGUCUCAAAUGAAGUACAGGAGCUGAGAAAGGAGCUACAGGAGUUACGUCUCCAGCGAGAGUUUGUACUGCAGCGGUCUGCUGGCUCCGACGCAGACAUCCAAAUUUACAUUUACAUUUAGGGCAUUUAGCAGAUGCUUUUAUCCAAAGCGACUUACAAUAAGUACAUUUGUCAUAAGAAGUGCAAAAAUAUAUCGCUGUCGGUACAGAAAGGAUGUUCAUAAAACCUGGCAUUUACACAAGGGAAGUCACUUUUUCACAGUCACAUUUUUUGUAUUAGCCUAUGUCAUUAGCCUAGUCCCUACGUGACGGGGAUAUGUGUCAGGCAGGGACAUUGUUGGUAAGAAAAUAGCUUUACGUUACAGAUUAAUAGUAUUAUUAUUUCUUAAUAGGUCUAUGUGAAUGAUAAAUAGCACACAAGUAGUGGCAUGUUGAGAGAUGGUGUAAUUGGAGUUGGGGAUUAUCAGAAUUUAUAUACAUGAAUGUGACCGCACCAAUAGUACAGAAACAAACAACAUUUAUAAUACAGAUUUGUGUAAAGACUUGCAGAGACGUGUUUCCAGUUCAAGUCUACAAAAGUUUAUUUUUAAAUAGUUGAAAAAAGUCAUGUUAUUCUAUGAGAUGAAAAUAGGAGCACUGAAGCGACAGCGCCAGAAUGUGACCGUCUCCAACUCCACCAAUGCUGGUCCUAGAACAAAAAUACUAUUAAUAAACAAUUGGAAAAUGUAUGAAUUGAUAACACCCUACUUAUCUGCAUGCAAGUACACACGGCAAACCACCAAACCGCGCCUCCCAAAGAUAUGGCCCGGACAGGAACAAUACUCUAAAAAGAAAGAGACCACAUUAGGGCAUUGGAUAUCCAGACACAUCAGGUCGUCUUACAGGAAGUUGGGGUAGUUAUUGAACUGCACCCAAAGAGGCUACACAAUACACAUGCAUAUAUAUACGAUAAAAUCUUAGUAGUUACUGUUGACAUUAUUUUGGUAACAAUGUAUACUUUUGAUGUACACUUUUAAUUGACAUUUUUUAUGUGAUGUAUUUUGUGAAUAGAUUUGCCAGCUACAACCACCUGAUGGCUUUUUUGGUCUUUGAUUGAGCCUUGUCUCUACAAGAUGGUCCGUGUCUCCAGAGCCAAAUCAGCUGCCCAG